rnacentral:rRNA from 1 species
CCUACGGUGGGCAGCAGUAGUGAAUCUUCCACAAUGGGCGCAAGCCUGAUGGAGCAACACCGCGUGAGUGAAGAAGGGUUUCGGCUCGUAAAGCUCUGUUGUUGGAGAGGAACGUGCGUGAGAGUAACUGUUCACGCAGUGACGGUAUCCAACCAGAAAGUCACGGCUAACUACGUGCCAGCAGCCGCGGUAAUACGGAAGGCCCGAGCGUUAUCCGGAUUCAUUGGGCUUAAAGGGAGCGUAGGCGGGCGUUCAAGUCAGCUGUAAAAUCGCGCGGCUCAACCGCGCCCCGCAGUUGAAACUGGACGCGUUGAGUUCACAACAGGCAGGCGGAAUUCGUGGUGUAGCGGUGAAAUGCAUAGAUAUCACGAGGAACCCCGAUUGCGAAGGCAGCCUGCCGGGGUGCGACUGACGCUGAGGCUCGAAGGUGCGGGUAUCAAACAGGAUUAGAUACCCGGGUAGUC